CUCGCAAAAAAUGCAAAAAUACCUCAAUCCUUUUUCUUGAGGUGAUUGUACGUGUAAGACUUCAAACUUAAAUGACUUAGUCCAAAUGAAAUGGAGGCAAUCACCUGCAUAUGUCUACGGAGGCAAUCACCUGCACCAUCGAGACUAAAGACACAAUUUAAAUGAAGAUGAAAAGGUAGGGAAUUCAAGAGCAAGAUGAUAGAUGCCAAACCGAUUCACAUGGUUGCUGCCACAUCUUUGUUAAUCUAGAAGGUUCAAUAGUUAGUUUGUAGGGUCAAAAAUGUAAUAAGUCAAGCAGUGAUUGCUUAUAAAUGGAGAGUUGGGGAUUAGGAAUUAUUCAUUCACGUGUAUGUUGAGUCAAGAGGGAGAGACUAGGCCUCUCGAAUAGCCUGGGAUUUGUUACCAAUUCUGUUCAUUUACUCUUCCAAUAAGAAUUUACUUUGAUUUUUCAUUGUUUAUCAAUUCAAAAGAGCUUCCACUGGUACUGCAGGUUGGGGGUUCUAUCAAAAUGGUAUCAAAGCAACCAUUCUGGCCCUGGGAUAAUACAUUUGAUGAAGAAAAGAAAUUGGAAGAUCGGGUUAAUAAUUUGGAAAUAAGGAUGGAUGGACUGCAAUCAGAGUUCGAGGCAAUGAAAUUUGAGAUUCAAACGGGUAUGUCACGAUGGAAGGAGAAAAUUGAUUAGUUGAUGCAGAAAUGGGAUGGACUAGAGCGUGAUAAGAAGGAGACAUUUAAUCUAACUAGAAAUGCUACUGAUCUGGAAACUUCAAUCAAAACCAACGAAACAAGGGUGAGUACACGAGUAGCCUCCUCACCAGAAUCCACCGUCGUAGAAGACAGGAGUUCACUUAAAACCUUACCGUCACCAACGCCAACGAUCGCAAGCGAAGUACGGGAGCAUAUCCUCAUCAAGGGGCUGAAACUCACUAGCACCUCUAAAAUUUUCCCAAAAUUGGAAGAAGUUGGUGCAUAUAAUGGAGGCUUGAACCACCGGGAUAAACUUAGGAAGGCUGAGAUACGGAGCAUGCUGGGGUUUGACGUCGAGAAUUUCAACAGUUGGAAAAGUAGAUCGCAAAGAAUUUUCAAAUUGAAUCAAAUUUAUGAUUGGGAGAAAUUGGAGGCCGCAACUAUUUGUUGUGAAGGAAAAGCACUGACCUAUUAUCAGUGGAAGGAAAAUCGACAACCAAUGAAGAAUGGGAAUAAUCUGAAGAAGUUGCUAUUAAAGAGGAUUCGCCCAUCGCAGGAAGGGACAAAUCUGGAAAUGUUUAUGGCAUUAAAGCAAGAAACCAUUAAAAGAGAGUAUCAGGGGCAUAUUGAGAUCUGGGCUGUGCCACUUCCGGCGGUCCCUGAAGAGGUGAUAAAAGGCAAUGUCGUCAAGGGGUUGAAGCAUUUUAAAUAGGCUGAGGUCCAUAUUGUUAACUCUAAGGGACUUCAAGGAAUUGGCCCAACGUAUUGAAAUCAGGAAUAAAGAAAAGAAACAAGCCCAUUUCAAUUAUGGCCCAUCUAAAAAAAUUAAUUCCUACAGCCCAAGUUCCCUUGACCAUUUUAGUCUAUUCCAUGUUUCCAAUGAAGUCGCGUGCAUUCCUAGAUCAACUGCCAUCACAGUCUGGUGAGUAACAACUAACAAGGGGGUGUUAGAAUUUAAAAAGCUUACAGAUGUUGAGCUCCAAUGGAAAGGGAAGAAAGGAGGUACGGUCAACUACACACUCAUUUCGAUAAGGGAAGUUCAAAAAUUGGACAAUUUAUGGGUAGAUUCGACAGGCUAUAGAGUCGCCUCAGAUACUAUACUUGAGUGAGUUGCUCGAUUAUAUAAGUUCAGUCACUUCGAAAGGCUGAAACGCCUCUUCUUCGCGGUGAUCAAGACUGGAGCUCUUACAAAGGAAAUUGUGCGAUUGUAUGAUGAAUUCAACAGCCUCCACGUUGAAGACAAGGUGGAUUUUGAGGCGGCGGGUAAUGAUAGAUGCCAAACCGAUUCACAUGGUGGCUGCCACAUCUUUGUUAAUCUAGAAGGUUCAAUAGUUAGUUUGUAGGGUCAAAAAUGUAAUAAGUCAAGUAGGGAUUGCUUAUAAAUGGAGAGUUGGGGGUUAGGAAUUAUUCAUUCACGUGUAUGUUGAGUCAAGGGGGAGAGACAAGGCCUCUCGAAUAGCCUGGGAUUUGUUACCAAUUCUGGUCAUUUACUCUUCCAAUAAAAAUUUACUUUGAUUUUUCAUUGUUUAUCAAUUCAAAAGAGCUUCCACUGGUACUGCAGGUUGGGGGUUCUAUCACAAGAUUUUCAAUUAAAAAGGAAAUCGAUUGGUAAAUUCCACUACUACAUACUAAUAAGGAAAAUGAGAAAUCAAUUAACCUUGCACGGGCAAAAAUCAUCAGGAUUUAUAUCAUCAUCCAAACCUUUAGUAGCCUUCAACAUACAGAAAAUCACCAUGGCAUCAACAAUUGAUACCAAAACAUACUGAAAAAACAUGAAUUUUACAAAUACUAAAAGCCCUUGCUAAGAAUGCAAAAAUACCUCAGUCGAAUCCAAGCUUAAACGACCCGAUCUGAAUGAAAUGGGGACAAUGACCUGCAUAUGACUACAAAGGAAACAACCAGCUACCAUCGAGACUAAAGACAACAUUUAAACAAAGAUGAAAAAGCAAGGAACCUCAGAGCAAGAUUUUCAAUUAAAAAACAAAUCGAUAAAUUGUAAAUGAAAAUACCUUCAAUAUCACUCAUCUCCUUUUCAACUUUCACAAGAUAUCCAAGAUACAUACCCAAAAAGUAUAAACGAGUUUAGGUUUUAUAGCCGCCGUGAGAGAGGAGAAACAAAGCUGAGGAGAAUGAAAGGUCUAGGGUUUGAUUUUCUUUCAUUUGCACCAGAGAGCUGCUAGGGUUUAUGAUAAGUUUGGUAAGGUUAUAUGAAUUUUCUUUUGGACGAAAAUAUUUCA
rnacentral:lncRNA from 1 species